UGACCUCAAAUCAGGUAGGACUACCCGCUGAACUUAAGCAUAUCAAUAAGCGGAGGAAAAGAAACCAACAGGGAUUGCCUCAGUAACGGCGAGUGAAGCGGCAAAAGCUCAAAUUUGAAAUCUAGCACCUUCGGUGUUCGAGUUGUAAUUUGAAGAUGGCAACCUUGGGUUUGGCUCUUGUCUAUGUUCCUUGGAACAGGACGUCAUAGAGGGUGAGAAUCCCGUCUGAUGAGAUGCCCAUUCCUUUGUAAGGUGCUAUCGAAGAGUCGAGUUGUUUGGGAAUGCAGCUCUAAGUGGGUGGUAAAUUCCAUCUAAAGCUAAAUAUUGGCGAGAGACCGAUAGCGAACAAGUACAGUGAUGGAAAGAUGAAAAGAACUUUGAAAAGAGAGUGAAAAAGUACGUGAAAUUGUUGAAAGGGAAGGGCAUUAGAUCAGACUUGGUGUUUUAUGAUUAUCUUCUCUUCUUGAGUUGUGCACUCGUAUUUCACUGGGCCAGCAUCGAUUCGGAUGGCAAGAUAAUGACAGUUGAAUGUGGCUUCAUUCGUGGAGUGUUAUAGCUUCUGUUGAUAUUGCCUGUCUGGAUCGAGGGCUGCGUCUUUGACUAGGAUGCUGGCGUAAUGAUCUAAUGCCGCCCGUCUUGAAACACGGACCAAGGAGUCUAACGUCUA
rnacentral:rRNA from 1 species